rnacentral:tmRNA from 1 species
GGGCUUGUUUAUGCGCAGUCCGCAUACUAAUUAAGGAGUGUCCUUCGGGACUAUGGACAUAAACGCGCUCGUAAUAAGCGGAUCGGACCCGGGGGCGGUACCCGGCGUCUCCACCAAUAACUGCUCAUUUGGCAGCCAUGGGGACGAAAUAGGAUCGACGAACGUCUAAAGGGGUUUGCUUUGUUUCGGUGAGUUACCACCGUUAUCGGUACAUCAAAGCUAGUUGCAAAUGACAACAAAGCACCGAUGGCACUCGCAGCGUAAGCUGUGCGUAAAAUCGAAAACUUAAGUCCUUAGGCUUUGCAGCCUCUGGCGGGGUUCGCAGGUACCUGGCAACAGAAACCUGCACU